GCCUGCAUGGCUCAGUGGUUGAGCAUCGACCUAUGGACCAGGAGGUCCCAGGUUCGAUUCCUGAUCAGGGCA
rfam:Myotis brandtii contig230826, whole genome shotgun sequence.